rnacentral:rRNA from 1 species
UUUGAUGUGAAGCCCUUCGGCUUAACCGGAGAAGUGCAUCGGAACCAGGGAGACUGAGUGCAGAAGAGGACAGUGGAACUCCAUGUGUAGCGGUGAAAUGCGUAGAUAUAUGAAGAAACACCAGUGGCGAAGGCGGCUGUCUGGUCUGUAACUGACGCUGAGGCUCGAAGCAUGGGUAGCGAACAGGAUUAGAUACCCUGGUAGUCCAUGCCGUAAACGAUGAGUGCUAAGUGUGGGAGCUUCAGUGCUGCAGCUAACGCAUUAAGCACUCCGCCUGGGGAGUACGACCGCAAGGUUGAAACUCAAAGGAAUUGACGGGGGCCCGCACAAGCGGUGGAGCAUGUGGUUUAAUUCGAUGCUACGCGAAGAACCUUACCAGGUCUUGACAUCUUCUGCCAACCUAAGAGAUUAGGCGCAGAAUGACAGGUGGUGCAUGGUUGUCGUCAGCUCGUGUCGUGAGAUGUUGGGUUAAGUCCCGCAACGAGCGCAACCCUUAUUGUUAGUUGCCAGCAUGGGCACUCUAGCAAGACUGCCGGUGACAAACCGGAGGAAGGUGGGGAUGACGUCAAAUCAUCAUGCCCCUUAUGACCUGGGCUACACACGUGCUACAAUGGACGGUACAACGAGUCGCGAAACCGCGAGGUCAAGCUAAUCUCUUAAAGCCGUUCUCAGUUCGGAUUGUAGGCUGCAACUCGCCUACAUGAAGUUGGAAUCGCUAGUAAUCGUGGAUCAGCAUGCCACGGUGAAUACGUUCCCGGGCCUUGUACACACCGCCCGUCACACCAUGAGAGUUUGUAACACCCAAAGCCGGUGCCGUCUAAGGUGGGACAGAUGAUUAGGGUGAAGUCGUAACAAGGUAGCCGUAAACGAAUCUGCAGAUAUCCAU